rnacentral:miRNA from 14 species
AUUGGAAAUGCAAAUGCCCAGGCCCCACCAGGGACGGUGAACUCAGAAAAUCUGGAGAUGGAGCCCAGGAAUCUGCAUUUUAACAAGCCUUCGAGGGUGAUUCCAAUAAU